AGAGUUUGAUCCUGGCUCAGGAUGAACGCUAGCGGCAGGCUUAACACAUGCAAGUCGAGGGGUAGAUGCAGCUUGCUGCAUUGAGACCGGCGCACGGGUGCGUAACGCGUAUGCAAUCUGCCUUGUACUGGGGGAUAGCCCAGAGAAAUUCGGACUAAUAUCCCAUAAUGAUAUUGAAAGGCAUCUUUUGAUAUUUAAAGCUCAGGCGGUACGGGAUGGGCAUGCGGAACAUUAGCUAGUUGGCAGGGUAACGGCCUACCAAGGCUGCGAUGUUUAGGGGACCUGAGAGGGUUAUCCCCCACACUGGUACUGAGACACGGACCAGACUCCUACGGGAGGCAGCAGUGAGGAAUAUUGGUCAAUGGGCGCAAGCCUGAACCAGCCAUCCCGCGUGAAGGAAGAAGGCGCUAUGCGUUGUAAACUUCUUUUCCAGGGGGAGAAUUUUCCGGUCGUGACCGGGAUUGACGGUACUCUGGGAAUAAGCAUCGGCUAACUCCGUGCCAGCAGCCGCGGUAAUA
rnacentral:rRNA from 1 species